rnacentral:rRNA from 1 species
AUUGAACGCUGGCGGCAUGCUUUACACAUGCAAGUCGAACGGCAGCGCGGGGCAACCUGGCGGCGAGUGGCGAACGGGUGAGUAAUACAUCGGAACGUACCCAGAAGUGGGGGAUAACGUAGCGAAAGUUACGCUAAUACCGCAUACGUUCUACGGAAGAAAGUGGGGGACCUUCGGGCCUCAUGCUUUUGGAGCGGCCGAUGUCUGAUUAGCUAGUUGGUGAGGUAAAGGCUCACCAAGGCGACGAUCAGUAGCUGGUCUGAGAGGACGACCAGCCACACUGGGACUGAGACACGGCCCAGACUCCUACGGGAGGCAGCAGUGGGGAAUUUUGGACAAUGGGCGCAAGCCUGAUCCAGCAAUGCCGCGUGAGUGAAGAAGGCCUUCGAGUUGUAAAGCUCUUUUGUCAGGGAAGAAACGGCUGAGGAUAAUACCUUCGGCUAAUGACGGUACCUGAAGAAUAAGCACCGGCUAACUACGUG